UACAGAGGUGGCAAGCGUUGUUCGGAAUUACUGGGCGUAAAGGGCGCGUAGGCGGUCUUGCAAGUCCUGUGUGAAAUCCCCCGGCUCAACUGGGGAACUGCACAGGAAACUGCUUGGCUUGAGUUCGGGAGAGGGAAGCGGAAUUCCGGGUGUAGCGGUGAAAUGCGUAGAUAUCCGGAGGAACACCGGUGGCGAAGGCGGCUUCCUGGACCGACACUGACGCUGAGGCGCGAAAGCCAGGGGAGCAAACGGG
rnacentral:rRNA from 1 species